ensembl:lncRNA
GUUAAUUAUUUGUCAUGCUAUACAUGCAAUUGGACGACUGCUUGAAGCCGUGGGCUGCGUCCAAAACCACGUACUUACCUGCUAUAUAGUAGCUGAGAUACAUGUAUUUCACCUACUAUAUGCAUGUAUUUCACCUACUAUUUAGUAGGUGAAAUACUUGUAUAUAGUAGGUGAAAUACUUGUAUAUAGCAGGUGAAAUACAUGUAUAUAGUAGGUGAAAUACAAGUUUUUUGGCUACGAUAUAGUAGGUGAAAUACUUGUAUAUAGUAGAAUAAGUGUAUAUAGUAGGUAAAAUACAUGAAUAUAGUAGGUGAAAUACAUGUAUAUAGUAGGUGAAAUACAUGUAAGUAAUAGGUGAAAUACAUGUAUAUAGUAGGUGAAACACACGUAUUUCAGCUACGAUAUAGUAGGUGAAAUACAUGUAUAUAGUAGGUGAAAUACAUGUAUAUGGUAGAAUACGUGUAUAUAGUAUGUGAAAUACAUGUAUAUAGUAGGUGAAAAACUGGUAUAUAGUAGAAUACGUGUAUAUAGUAGGUGAAAUACAUGUAUAUAGUAGGUGAAAUACACGUAUUUCGGCUACGAUAUAGUAGGUGAAAUACAUGUAUAUGGUAGAAUACAUGUAUAUAGUAGGUAAAAUACAUGUAUAUAGUAGAAUACGUGUAUAUAGUAGAUGAAAUACAUGUAUAUAGUAGGUGAAAUACACGUAUUUCGGCUACGAUAUAGUAGGUGAAAUACAUGUAUAUAGUAGAAUACAUGUAUAUAGUAGGUGAAAUACAUGUAUAUA